rnacentral:rRNA from 1 species
GAUGAACGCUGGCGGCGUGCCUAAUACAUGCAAGUCGAGCGAACAGACGAGGAGCUUGCUCCUCUGAUGUUAGCGGCGGACGGGUGAGUAACACGUGGAUAACCUACCUAUAAGACUGGGAUAACUUCGGGAAACCGGAGCUAAUACCGGAUAACAUGUUGAACCGCAUGGUUCAACAGUGAAAGACGGUCUUGCUGUCACUUAUAGAUGGAUCCGCGCCGCAUUAGCUAGUUGGUAAGGUAACGGCUUACCAAGGCAACGAUGCGUAGCCGACCUGAGAGGGUGAUCGGCCACACUGGAACUGAGACACGGUCCAGACUCCUACGGGAGGCAGCAGUAGGGAAUCUUCCGCAAUGGCGAAAGCCUGACGGAGCAACGCCGCGUGAGUGAAGAAGGUCUUCGGAUCGUAAAACUCUGUUAUUAGGGAAGAACAAAUGUGUAAGUAACUAUGCACGUCUUGACGGUACCUAAUCAGAAAGCCACGGCUAACUACGUG